CAAACGGUCCUUUUCAGGACCACCAAUAUAUUUGACGAAAGAACA
rfam:Cerapachys biroi unplaced genomic scaffold scaffold766, whole genome shotgun sequence.